CUUGUUUCAGACUUUCAGACACGUGCCGUGUCCGAGUACAGAGACCACUAGUGAAUACAGUUUUAAUUUGACUUGGAACCUGGUGUUCAUCUUCUUUACUCAAGGUAGUGGAUGUCAAGCUGAAAGUGGUUGUCAUAUUGAAAUCAGGUACGCUACUCCGAUUGGUUCAAAUGGAAGCUCAGGAAGCAUUGGGUUGCAAGCCAAUCCGUAGAGCAAGGCUGCAGAUAAACCACAGAAGUCGGAAGCAGACAGCAUCACAGAGCUCAUAGUAUAGGUAGUCACGUGAAACAUGCGAAACACUAUAAUCAUCCUUGACCUUCGGAAUCAAAGACCUUUUUUUUU